GACGAACGCUGGCGGCGUGCUUAACACAUGCAAGUCGAACGAAGAGCGACGGAAGCUUGCUUCUAUCAAUCUUAGUGGCGAACGGGUGAGUAACGCGUAAUCAACCUGCCCUUCAGAGGGGGACAACAGUUGGAAACGACUGCUAAUACCGCAUACGAUCUAACCUCGGCAUCGAGGAUAGAUGAAAGGUGGCCUCUACAUGUAAGCUAUCACUGAAGGAGGGGAUUGCGUCUGAUUAGCUAGUUGGAGGGGUAACGGCCCACCAAGGCGAUGAUCAGUAGCCGGUCUGAGAGGAUGAACGGCCACAUUGGGACUGAGACACGGCCCAGACUCCUACGGGAGGCAGCAGUGGGGAAUCUUCCGCAAUGGACGAAAGUCUGACGGAGCAACGCCGCGUGAGUGAUGACGGCCUUCGGGUUGUAAAGCUCUGUUAAUCGGGACGAAAGGCCUUCUUGCGAAUAGUGAGAAGGAUGGACG
rnacentral:rRNA from 1 species